CGCUUCUCCUCAUAUCAAAAACCGUCCAGAUUUUUCUACAAAAUUCUCUUGUUUCCGUUACAAUAUUCGGUCGAGAGCUCUCAGAAUCGAGAUUUACUUUGGUUCCUAUUGAAAUUCAUCGCUUUAAUCUGUAAGUUUCUUCCAUAUUACUUUUAAUUUUAUUGUUUUAUGUCGUGAUAUGAUGUGCGGUUUUUAGAUCGGCGAUUGGAUCUUGCUUUAUUCUAGUUCCUAGGGUAUAAUUUUAUUUGUAUUGAUUUAUUGUUUCGUAUCAUGAUUGGAAGUGUAUUAUUGCCAUUUUUACGACAUUUUGGUUUAUUUAUAGGGCUUGAUUUUGUUUAUAUCGUUUUAUUGUUUCAUAUCAUCAGUGUAUUCUCAGGAUUUUGUUAUUGUAAUCUGGGUUUGAUCAUCGAAGCUUUCUGAACGAAGGAAGGUUUUUGUCUGCCUAUCUCUCAUAUUUCCAAUCGUAUGCGUCAUUUGUUGGUUUUCUUUUUGCCCCUUCGAUUUUGAAACGUUAUAUGAACCAUAAAUUUAUUUGUUCGUGGAUGAAUUUUGGCUUUUGCAUUGGCCGUUUAUUACAACCGAUCAUUAAAAAUUGAUGUUUAUUUAAAACUUCUAUUAUUUACUAUAGUUUUUCUCUCACUUAGUGUUUUCAGCCGAAGAGUGAAUCGUGUUUUAGACUGAUGUCAGGUUUAGAGGAGUGAAUCGUGUUUUAGACUGAUGUGAGGUAUAGAGGCUUCUUUUUAUGUGAAUCUAGAAAUUCGCAUUGCAGCCACUAGUUCAAUUAUGCUUACUUGUUAGUAGAUGGGGAAAAAAUGUGUUUACAAUAUUAGUGUAUCGUGUAUUGUUUGUGAUUUUAGCGGGUGAAUAUUUAUUCACCUUAUACCCUUCCUCCUCGAAUUCUUCUAUAGUUCUCCUCCUUUUUUUUGCAUUACUGUUCUCUUGAUGUUAUUUUAUUACUUACCCUUCAUUCCUAUUUUAUCUAACCUACAUUCCUUUUGUGAUUGUAAAAUGCUGAUGAUAGUUUCCAGCCUCCAGGUUUUUUGUCAGCAUUAAUGAAUAGCUCAACUGGUGUCUGACUUCGUUUGCUAUGCAUGCCUAUAACAGUUUUUUCUCAGUUAAAUUGAUGUUCCCAUCUGGUUUUGAUACUUGUCUUUGAUUGUUUUAACAGCUAAGACCGAAUGAUCUGAUGGAAUCAAAGGGUGGGAAGAAGUCUAGUAGUAGUAAAUCCUUAUUCUACGAAGCUCCACUUGGAUACAGCAUUGAAGACGUUCGACCACACGGAGGAAUCAAGAAAUUCAAAUCUGCUGCAUACUCUAACGUGAGUUUGAUGUCUUCUGUUCUUUUGGUUUUUUUUCUUAGAUCAUCAUGUAAGUGCCAUGUUUUUAAUUUGCGUUCUUUAUCUGCAGUGUGCGCGGAAGCCAUCCUGAGAUCUGUUGGGUUGUGCAAUAACCACCAGAGGUGGUUUAAGGAACAGUGUCUACAUUAAAAUUCAGCAACUGUCUUUGUUUAAUUUCUUAUUUCCAGCUACCGUCUUUGUUUAAUUUCUUAUUUCCUUGUCCUUGUUCUUGCUUUCCACUUCACUCCUUUCCUUCAAGACAAAAUGGCCUUGACAGUUUCUGCGAUUGGAUUUGAAGGUUAUGAAAAGAGGCUUGAGAUUUCUUUUUACGAACCUGGAAUAUUUUCUGACCCUGGAGGUCUUGGCCUCCGAUCUUUGUCCAAAUCUCAAUUGGAUGAAAUUCUAGACCCAGCUCAGUGCACCAUUGUGUCUUCGUUGUCUAAUGAUGAAGUCGAUUCAUAUGUCCUAUCAGAGUCUAGCCUUUUUGUGUACCCAUACAAGAUAAUAAUUAAAACUUGUGGGACUACAAAGCUGCUGCUUUCUAUCCCAAUCAUCCUCAAGCUUGCUGAUAUCCUCGGACUCACCGUGAGUUCUGUAAGAUACACCCGUGGAAGUUUCAUAUUUCCUGGGGCUCAGCCAUUUCCGCAUCGUAGCUUUUCUGAAGAAGUAGCUGCUCUAGACGGCUAUUUUGGCAAACGUGGGCUGAGCAGCAACGCCUAUGUGAUGGGUGGUGCUGAUGAAGAUCAGAAAUGGCAUGUCUACUGUGCAUCAGCUACCCUGACGGAUGAUCUGGGUCCGGUAUACACCCUAGAAAUGUGCAUGACUAAUUUGAACCAGAAGAGGGCCUCUGUAUUUUACAAAACUCAAUCAAGCUCUGCAGCUGUCAUGACUGAAGCUUCCGGCAUCAGGAAAAUUCUCCCCAAUUCUGAGAUAUGUGAUUUUGAUUUUGAUCCCUGUGGUUACUCCAUGAAUGCCGUUGAAGGUGCUGCAAUCUCUACAAUUCAUGUGACUCCAGAGUAUGGCUUCAGUUAUGCAAGUUUUGAAGCAGUUGGAUAUGAUUUCAAAGUGGUUGAUUUGUCCCUCCUGCUUGAGAGGGUACUGGCUUGCUUCCAACCUGCCAAGUUUUCUGUAGCUUUGCAUUCUUCUGUUGCCAGGAAGGACCUUGAUCUGGACUUCACGCUUAAUAUGAAUGGAUAUGCAUGUGGAGGAAGGAGCUUUGAAGUUGCUGGUCAUGGAGGAUCUGUUAACUAUAGCAGCUUUAUCAGUGCUGGAAACUGCGGUUCUCCAAGGUCUAUUCUGCAAUUCUGCUGGAACGAUGACCAGGGCAAGGAAGUCGAGAAGAAAUAAUUAUGCACAUGGUUUUCUCGACUAAGUAGUAGUGUCUUUAGUGUGGUUGAUAAUAAGAUGCUGAGAUUAUUCAGCCUUUUACUUUACUGAACUAUUCUCUAUUUAGCGUGUGGAGUCUCCGAGUGUUGGAGCAUCAAUAAAUUAGUUUAGUUUUUUCAAUAAAAUCAGUUGACUGUGUAGAUGGUCCUGAUGUGUGUGAUAAAUUUUCAGAAGGCUGAGAUAAUAUUGACACUGUUUUCCUUGUGCGUACUUCCAAUUUGUGCCAGUUUUGCAUUUGCUCAUUAUAUUAUUCUCUGAUGCACGCUUGAAAUUAUAUUGACAUGUUUGUUGCCAAAAGACUGUUAAUUUUGGUCCUGGUCCUGGACCUGGAAAAUAAG
rnacentral:lncRNA from 1 species